rnacentral:rRNA from 1 species
CCUACGGGUGGCAGCAGUGAGGAAUAUUGGUCAAUGGGCGCGAGCCUGAACCAGCCAAGUCGCGUGAGGGAAGACGGUCCUAUGGAUUAUAAACCUCUUUUGUCGGGGAGCAAAAGACGCCACGCGUGGCGUUCCGAGAGUACCCGAAGAACAAGCAUCGGCUAACUCCGUGCCAGCAGCCGGGGUAAUACGGAGGAUGCGAGCGUUAUCCGGUUUUAUUGGGUUUAAAGGGUGCGCAGGCGGAAGAUCAAGUCAGCGGUAAAAUUGAGAGGCUCAACCUCUUCGAGCCGUUGAAACUGGUGUUCUUGAGUGAGCGAGAAGUAGGCGGAAUGCGUGGUGUAGCGGUGAAAUGCAUAGAUAUCACGCAGAACUCCGAUUGCGAAGGCAGCAUACCGGCGCUCAACUGACGCUCAUGCACGAAAGUGUGGGUAUCGAACAGGAUUAGAUACCCGGGUAGUC